AGUUACAGACAUUUCACAGGACAUGGGACAAGAUGGACUUUCUGUACCUCUGAUUGCUGAUUGUGUGGGAGGAAUUGUGGCAGUGCUCACUCUCUCUGCUCUUGGUUUUUGUACAAGUGCUGCUGGGAAAUCGUCAAGAGAACAUCACAUCACUCAGUGUUUAAUAGAUCUCGCAUAAAGGAAGACAUCUUCAUGAACUUCUGCUUUUCUUUGACUGCACUGCUCUGAGAGCUCCAGUGAUGUCUGUGUUCCAGAUCAUGUCCUUCUUCAUCAUCAUCAUCAGCUCUGUGUUUCUGCAUACUCACUCAGCUGAUGAUAUCUACUCUGCCGUGAUGCCUCAGACAGUAACAGCUCUGACAGGCUCUUGUGUGCAGAUUCCUUGCACAUUCAACAUCUCUAAUUUUAAGGACAAAUGUAACAAGGCAAAAUCUAUUAAUGGGAUCUGGCUAAAAAAUAAAUUACAGUUUGCUGACACAGACAGUUUAAUAGUUUUUAAUAGCAGUAAAAACGUCAUUAGAGGAUUCAGUGACAUACAGAUGACUGGAAAUCUCAGUGAGAGGAACUGCACAACUGUCUUCUAUAACCUCAUGAAGAAUCAUUCAGAUCUCUACUACUUCAGACUGGAAAUGGAGCCAGAUGUGUUCAAAGCAACAUUUAACCCAAAUCAACCUGAUUCAAGAAAGACUGUGAAGAUCACUGUCAUAGACUCACCACAACCUCCUGAACUUAAACCCAAUUGUUCACGCUAUGUGAUGGAGAACACAACAGUCAAUCUGAUCUGCUCUGCUGAAGCCCCCUGCCCCAAACAACCUCCGACAAUAUCCUGGUCCAACAUCCCUGAAUCUGCCAACAUUACAACACAGUUACAGGAGAAACCCGAUAAAACCCAGUCAGU